UGUUGGAUAGCUCAGUUGGUUAGGGCGUCCCGAUGCAAUCGGGAAGGUCACGAGUUCAACUCUCGUUCCCGCUA
rnacentral:tRNA from 1 species